UGAUUUAAUUAAUUAACAAGUGACAUUGCGCGAAUAGAUUUUGUAAAGAAGUUGAGAAGCUCACCACCGGUAUCUUUCUGACGCAACUGCUCGGCAGUACGUAUAACAUCUCUCUUGUGGGAUUUAAAUUAGCGGGGGAUGAUCCUGAUAAAUUUAAAUACACAACGCAACUGUCGAUUGCAGUGAUUCAACUGUUUUUGUGUAAUUGGCCGGCAGAUGUUCUUCUCACGGAGAGUCAAGCCGUAGCAAGCGCAAUAUACUUUAUACCGUGGUAUCGCUUUUAUCAACUAAAAAGGUCUCUAAAUAUUAUGACGAUGAGAUCUCAGAAACCAGCACAGAUGACCGCCGGGUACAUCGUACCGUUAUCUUUGCAAACUUUCGCAUCUAUGGUAUCAUCUGCGGCGUCUUUUUUCACCAUGAUAAGCAGUAUGAAUUGAUAUUAAAUUUCAUCAGAAUUGUAUAUUUUAUUAAUUAAGAGCGCUUGUGUGACAUUGUUGAUGUUGGUGCUUAAUCAUAGUUACAAUAUUUAUAUAUGAAACGAAGUUUUAUAUAUGUCAUUGAGAAAAAGUGAAAUACAACGCAAGUGAGAACUCAUUAGGCGUGACAAGCGUUUUCGCGGAUUAGCUCUAUAUCGGCACACGUAGUGUUGACACCGAGAAGAUUUAGCUGCGGAGACACUCUACAGCUCCGCUACGAUUGCUUAAAGUAACGAGACAGGCGUUAACCUCCGUGGAAACUAAUCCGAGGAAAAUGUCGGAGAGAGAAAGGCUUUCGAUGUAACUCUUGGCUUAAGCCGAGCAUCGAUCAUUUUCUUUUUACGUUACUGCCGAGCUACACUCUUGGUUCGUACGUGUCGAGAGUUAGUCCGCCGCAUCUUUCUCGCGGAAAAGACGGUUAACAGAGUGUUGUCCAUUCCGCGUGAGAAUUGCAGAAAGACUGCGCGAGAUAUGCGCGAUUCAUGAAACUCGAAUUUGGACUCGAAUAUGGAGGAAAAUUAAAGAAAGCCUAAAAAUGACUGCAAAAAAAUGGGA
rnacentral:lncRNA from 1 species